rnacentral:lncRNA from 1 species
GGGUGCCACAGAGAGAGUGGGUGUGGGGGCUGCACGAGACCUGGAAAACUAACCAGAUACCCCAGUGGAGAACACAGGAGGGAGGGUGGCGCUCCUUAAAGUUCCACGUGGCAGAGCUGUUAGUGCUCAUCUUCAGAAAUCCACAGCACCUGUCCCCACGAAAUCUGUGCGUGGAGACCGCGAGCAGGAGGUGCAGAGUUGUGACUCCUCAGCAGUACAGGAGUAAGAAAGCCUGGCUUGGCUGUGGGUUGCGAGUGAAAGAGACAUUGCAUCCGAGGUGUCGGUUCAUUGCAAUUAUUGGGUCCAGCCCCUCAUUGGAAAUAAUAUGACUGUAGCACAAAGUACUUUAUGAAUGCCUUUUUAAAAUUAGUAUCAGAUAGUUGGUUAAGGAGUUGAUUAGCUUCAUUAUCAAAAUGUCUGCCUAUGGACGAUGCACCUGGGUGCGCUCAGCACCGAGACCCCCAUAGAUUUUCCUGCGUGCCCACAGAGUAGCCGUUCAGAGGGCCGGGCGGAAGAGGCAACAUGCAGGUUCCCAGCGGAGAGGAAGAACCGUUAUGGCAAAAGAAUCCGGACGGAAGGUCAAGACCUUCUGAUAUUACACCGUGGGUCUCUGAGAAGCCACACCAGGCUUUAAUGGACGAACGCGGUACUUCCUCCCGAGGAUUUAAUGGGCACGGGAGAGCGAGGUUUCUUUCUGUGGUCCGACCCACCACCUUCAUAUUUCCGGAAGAAGGAACAUGAAAUGAAAAGAAAAAAGCCCUUACAACAUCAUAGGAGUGUCUCUACUAGCACAUCGUGCUGGCAUCCUAAAGAAGCCAGACAGCAGAGUUAACGGGUACAAGUUUAAAAGUUGGCAUUAUAUUUUAUUCUGUGUUCAAAACCAUUUUUGUGAUUUUCCUAAUAACGCAUGCAAAGUCUCCUUUGAAGUUAUGGAAUGGGCCGGGGGAGGGGUGUUUUCUAUUUUUCUUUUUCUAAAUGUACCGAUAGGCUGGCCUGGGCUGGGAUUGGAUAGAGAAGUUCAGAGACAAAAGGCAGAAACCACCCGUCUCUUGAAAUUUGCCUGCUGGUCUCCUAGCAACUGGUUUCUUGUUUGAGGCAUAUUUGAGCUGUAGAGAGAAGACUCAGAAUGCGGUAAAGGGGCAGAGAAUUGCUCUCCCACUG